GCCAUGCUACACAACAUACACGUCGAUACACAAGACAAUGACUGUAGCGAGCUUACCUAAACAAACUUUUUUCUUUUUUUGUAUUAUUAAGGAUAAUUCAUUGGGCAGAUGCAACUGUGCGCAUGCGCAGAUCUCACCUCUUUCUUAUAGCGGGCUUGGUGUGUUCUCGCGAGGCUGGCUCAUCAAAUACAAUACAAAAAUAAAAUAGUGUGACUAGACGCAACUCACAAAUCUGUCCUCUUGAAAUGUUUAUUAAUGUAUUGGACAUAAUAAGCCCGAGAUAUAGUGAUUGAAACGUUUGCUUAGAUGACGUGUUGCACCUUUAAGAUUCCACCAAAUUCCAACGUGUGUGAUACUUGCCUCAACACACUGCAACGUCUGAAACACAACGAGAUCAAACCGGGCAGAUCCGGUCGCUCGGCCUAAUUAUCCCAAGUUUUACAAUCUCUUUCAGCCAAAGAAGAAUCGAGCACCGUUUAGCAAUGCUUUGAAACAGCGAGCGGUUGCAAGCACCUCAAACAUCCAGACGAGUGCAUCAUCGAGUUGUGUCUGAACCAACACUGAUGAAGCAGGACUGGAACCACGUGACUAAGCUCACAGACAAGAAGCACGUAAUUGGUCUGACUAAAUGUAAUGCUGUUAAAGGACAGGGGAAUAAAUAUUACAGGACUGCUGAUGAGAAAUGUCACUGUUGUUGAACACUGGUGUUCGCAGGAAGCUUAAAGAUCCCAUUCAGACAUAAUAAAUGUAUUUUCUCCUUCUCCCUCAUUGAAAAAUCCACAGUAUCUAACACGUAUCCCUAAUUUAUAAUCGUUCCACUCUUCGACAAAAUGUUACUUCCCUGUAAAUUCCACUCCUGGGCGUUCCCUGCAGGGUUCAGGUAUCUACAACUCACUCGUGUAAGUUAUAUGCUGGACAACCAAAGCAGUUGCGAUGUCCCAAAAUCAUGCUUGUUUUAAAGACAGAUUACAGAUGAACACUGAGAAUUCAGCCCUUAUGUCAAACCCAGAACAUACAUAAUUCUCCACAUUGAAGGUCAAAUAUCCGAGUGAAGUAUAACAAUAAAUAAAACGUAUAUUAUUUGCCGGUCAGGAUGACUAUAACCCUAUUUAGCGUUUGCUCAUCUUGCCGGUUUCAUACCGUGC
ensembl:lncRNA